UACGGAAGGCAGCAGUGGGGAAUAAUUGCACAAUGGGCGCAAGCCUGAUGCAGCCAUGCCGCGUGUAUGAAAAAGGCCUUCGGGUUGUAAAGUACUUUCAGUCGUGAGGAAGGUGUUAAGGUUAAUAACCUUAGCAAUUGACGUUAGCGACAGAAGAAGCACCGGCUAACUCCGUGCCAGCAGCCGCGGUAAUACGGAGGGUGCGAGCGUUAAUCGGAAUUACUGGGCGUAAAGGGCACGCAGGCGGUUAAUUAAGUUGGAUGUGAAAUCCCCGGGCUUAACCUGGGAAUGGCAUUCAAGACUGGUUAGCUAGAGUCUUGUAGAGGGGGUAGAAUUCCAUGUGUAGCGGUGAAAUGCGUAGAGAUGUGGAGGAAUACCGGUGGCGAAGGCGGCCCCUGGACAAAGACUGACGCUCAUGUGCGAAAGCGUGGGGAGCAAACAGGGAUUAGAUACC
rnacentral:rRNA from 1 species